rnacentral:snoRNA from 1 species
AUAUAAUAUUGCAUCGCUAAUAAUACAGAAGUGAGGGUUACCAGGUUUAUUGAAGUAACUGCAGUGAUAGAAAUGGAUUAACUUCAGACUGCACUGAGGUGUCUAUUCUCCCCUAUUAUAGGG